rnacentral:rRNA from 1 species
UGGAAUUCGCCCUUAGAGUUUGAUCCUGGCUCAGGACUAACGCUGGCGGCGUGCCUAACACAUGCAAGUCGAACGAGUUGUUUAUAUAUAGCAAUAUGUGUAGACACCGAGUGGCGAACGGGUGAGGAACACGUAGAUA